UACGAAGGGGGCUAGCGUUGCUCGGAAUCACUGGGCGUAAAGCGCACGUAGGCGGCUUUCUAAGUCAGGGGUGAAAUCCUGGAGCUCAACUCCAGAACUGCCUUUGAUACUGGGAAGCUUGAGUCCGGAAGAGGUGAGUGGAACUGCGAGUGUAGAGGUGAAAUUCGUAGAUAUUCGCAAGAACACCAGUGGCGAAGGCGGCUCACUGGUCCGGUACUGACGCUGAGGUGCGAAAGCGUGGGGAGCAAACAGG
rnacentral:rRNA from 1 species